CGAUCAAUAAUACUACUAGAUUCGCGAUUAGCGCUUCAAAAGCGGCCCGAAAAAUAAGACCACAAAUAAAUUUGUGGUCUUAUUUCAAAUUAGUAUGGUCCAAUCAUAGCCAACACUAAGACGUCAAAACGCUGCAAUGCGCGUUCAAAAACUGAGUAAAAAACCACCGUAACACCAAGGUUUUGGAAGGAAUAUCUUUUUUUGAUUUCCUAGUAGCCCCUUGUCGCUGUGCACAAUGGAUAUGUAUUGUCGCGAAAGAAAGAGGAGAAGAAAUAUAGAACUCUUUUAAAAAUUCUAGAAUUGUUCAAUGGUGGUGGCAAAUCAAUGCAAAAAAGUAUUAAAAAAACUUUAUAUGUAUGUGUAAAUAUUUUAAGCGUAUAUGCUGAAAAGGAUUUGUUUUCUGGGGGAAACGAACACAGCCAUAAAAUAAGCCUAAAUUAAACUGAUUAUAGAAAAAUUCAUUGAUUUAUAUUUGUAAAAAAGAAACCGCUCAUAUAAAAAUGACUUCUAAAAGACAGCUUUAUAACAAACUGAAUCUGUUUAAAGGUAAUUAAACCUACAUUAUUGAAGUGAAACUUCUUUAUCGGCGUUGGAAAAAAAUUUACCGUCACAUUUUUCGGUUACGCGUCACAUUUUUCCGUUACGCGCCAUCUUUUUCUUCACCAUUCAUUGUUGCCGUACACAAGUGAAGGUGCCUCUUUACUCGGUAACAAUAAUUAUAAAAUACCGAUGAUUUUAAGUGGAGAUUUUAAUGUAAAUUUUGCAUCGGAAAAUUCUUUGAAGCUAGUUGAAUUUCUGAAAGAUAAAUUGAAUUUAUCCAUGAAAAACAGUCCUCAAACGUCAACAACAAGAUCUGGCACUACAAUUGAUGGAGUUUUUACUCGGUCACUAAAUUUCGUGGAAUGUAAACCAUAUAUUUCAUAUUUCAGUUACCAUAAGCCAUUAAUUACAAAAAUAUAUAAUGACAAUGACAAUGAUAGUAAUAAUUCUAUUACAAUUAAUGAAAUGCUGUAAUAAUCUUAGUAGCAAAAAGGUAAAGUGAAAUAAUUGUAUUAUUUGUAUUCAUGUCUAUGAUAAUAAAAUCCUUUUGUUUAAACUUUAUCUAAUUUAACUUUAUUUAACCAAUUUCUAGAAAGUUGCAUGUAGAUCAUUUUUCGAAAAAUAAGGCCAUAAACAAGUUUCACUUCUUACGUGUGUACACUAGUACACGCACACAUUUUUGUUUUAAUUACUUCUGUAUAAAGAAUACGUGGAAAACAUGUUUCGUGUUUCCUUUCAUAUUUUUUUUACUUUAUUCAAUUUUAUUUUUUAUCACCUAUUUGUUGUAAUAGCGGCAAUGUAAAAUAUUAUCUACAACUUUUUUGAAUCGGUCAAAAAUAGUUGCGACCAUACAAAACAAACCUAAAACAAAUAUGUAUAUUCUGCAACUCUAUGUCUUUCAAUACUUACUGUGUUCUGAGCAUUGAAAUGUAAUACCAAGAACUACAUCUUGUUCCACAAUACAAUAAGCACGAAAUUUUAAACAAAUAUUUUUAACCUUAUAAAUUAGGCUUUAAGUAUCAUUUUAGAAUAAAUAUUUUUGUACUGAUGACUUUUUAUGUUCAAGUGACAUUUUAAAUUUAUUCCAUAAUAUUCUUUUUCUGACGAAAGGACCUAAAUACAUAUAUUUUGCAAUGGUAAUUAAACUUUAUGUUUAAGUAUUAAGGUUUAUAAUAAACUGAAGUCGUUAAUAUUAUUAAACUUUUUUCUAAGAAAUGAAGAUGUUUUCGUGUCUGCAAACGUGGCCACUGGAGCGUCUUAUUUUUGUUCCUGAUCCGUAAUCUAGUACUAUUAUUGAUCGAAGAUGCCUAUCUCCUUGUUUGGAAGUUGGCCUUGCGGUAUAAAAUUAUAUAACUAUUCGAUUUCCUCUUUCAUAAAGUUUUUAUUUGCAAAAUAAUUUGUAACGUUGACAGAACCACAAGAAUUUCGUCAGACCGCGAACAUAAAAUUGCUUAUAUACAGUUUGUUGUUUAUUAUUCUUAUCGAUGUUGGUUGAAUAGUGAAUUUAUUAUAAUCUAGUUUAUUUGUUAUAAAAAAACUUAUAUACGUAAUCAUUGUGAUUUUAAUAAUUGUAUUUUAGCUGCAAUAUAUUUUGAUGUGCUAUCAAUAAAUCUGUGUCAGAAAUUUGUUAUAAAUAUACUGUUGUUCUAUGUUUA